rnacentral:lncRNA from 1 species
UUAAUAGAUUUACCUUCAACAAAAAAACUAAUUGCAGAAAAGGCAUUUAUGUUCGAAAUACGAUCGCAACACUAGAUGGCGCUGUUCACAGCCAUAUCAUUGAGGAAAAACUGUUUCCUUUCGGUAGGUAUAAGUAUAGCAUUUCUCACUUUUUGGAAGAGCAGAGUUCGCCGUCACAAGCAAAAAUAUUGCUUAAAAGAAAACCCCGACCUCUAUGUGUAAAAUUUUAUUUAAUCCAAUUUAUUUAUUGGAUCGUAAUCAUUUUAUUUUCACAAUUCUAUUUCAUAACUAUUUAUCAUUUCGGUAGCAGUAGUAGUUUAGCUUAGAGUAUGUAAUUAUUAUGAUGAGUUGGUACAACUAAACUAUGGUAUAAUGAAUUAUGACAACCGUAAUUCUGAUUAGGCCCUAAAGCUGUCAAGGACUGAAACUUUGGUUUUGUAAGUUUAUUUUCUGUACCUACAGCAGUAAGUAUUAUUAUAACAGACACAACGCGGUUAGCAUCGCAGGUGAACAAAGCGACCUAAUUCCAACCUUAUGUGGCUCGGCACAAGGCUCGAUUUUAGCUCCGACUGAAUACCUAUUGUACGUCAAUGACAUGCAUAAAAUUUUCCAGCAUGGAUCCGUAUAUCAAUUUGCAGACGAUACUUGUAUAAUUGUAGCAAACGAGGACUUGCAGACUGCGCGGGACAUGAUGCAACAAGACUUUGACACACUGUGCAAAUGGGCUCAUGACCUAGGUUUGUCUAUAAAUUUCUCUAAAACAAAACUUAUGUAUAUACAUUCACCUUAUAAAAAAGUAAACUUCACACCACAAAUCGUGGCCCACGACCACAAAUGUAUGCACAUGACCCACGCAGCCUGUAAUUGUGCGCAGCUAGAAAUUGUUAACGAGCACACUUACCUUGGAUUAAAAAUAGACCAUAAGUUCAACUGGAAUCCACAUAUAAACAAUGUUUGUAACAAACUAAGAUCUAUACUGUCAAAACUAUCCAUACUAAAAAACAAAUUGCCCUACAAUACUUUAAGGCUCCUGUACAUGGCACUGGCCGACUCUGUUAUAAGCUAUGGCUUAGAAAGCUACGGCAGAACAUAUAAAACAUAUCUAAACGACAUAUUUAACCUACAACUACGUAUACUCAAGACAAUUGUACCUACUAAAAUUAAAUAUAAAUACAAAGAUAACUAUGAAAAUCUAUUCAAAUACUGCAAAGUAUUAACUGUAUUUGAAAAAAUUGAUCUAGCAAUAAUAACUCAAUACUAUCACAAUAUAACAGAUUUAAGGAAAAAAAACACGACCCGCGCGAUUACGUAACCUAGCCAACCUUCCAACAUUUGAAGUAACAAAAAGUAACAAUGUGUACGGGCAAAGGUUAGGGAAGUGUAUGCUACCGCAUAUUUUGAAUAGAUUUUCAAACGAACUAUUAAAUUCGUUGGAGGGACGAACGAAUAAGCAGGUAAGAAAUAUUGUAAAGAAAUAUUUGUUUAAGAUAAGGCAGUCUAACGACGCCAAUUAAUUGAAUACUUAACCCUCAAAUAAAUAUGUAAAAAUGCAUGCAAUCAUUAGUAUAAUUACUUAGCCAUAAAAGAUAGGACUCCUUAACUCAAAAAAUCUUUAUUAGUUAAGAUUAGUAGUUAAGAAAAAACAUGUUAUUUUUUUUUUUAUAUACUA